GGUCAAAGGUCAGCAGUCACUCAUCGCUCACUUGCGAAGAGGGGAAUGAAUGGCAGUUUAAAGCUAUCUUAGCUACUUUUAACGGAGCUCUGUUCAUAUGGCAGACGUUUUAUUAAGCUUGUCGCAAGGGAAGAAAAUGAAGAGUUCAAAUUCUGCUGUGAUAUACUCAAAGAUAGCUGCUCCCGCGCUUUUGUUCCGAAGUAGCUAGCUUAGCUGACGUGGACAAACAUGGCUGCCAAUUAUUUAGCCCUAAAAUAACCUGCCAGCACCUAACGUUACAGUGGAGGACGCAGAACAUAAGGGGUCACAGAAGAGGGACUUUCCAUCUCUUGUUGAAGUACUGGACUGUUUUUCCUGAAAUGAAUAGUGUCCUAAAGGCUCAUCCAGUCAUCAAAGUUUUCCAAGAUGUUCCUGCAGUUUCCCUCACCGCCGUCCAGUCGAUUUAAAGUUUUUCAAUCUGAAGCAUCCCUUUUGCUGCUCCUGCUGAUGUCGGCAGUGGCGCUUCAGGAGUAUGAAUGGAGUGGAAAUGAAGGAGGGAAAGGUGACAGGACGGACGAGGAGAGCAACGGAUUAGAUGAAAACAGAAGGUGUUAUGAGAAGUCUUUCAGGCGAGCUGGAGGCCGAGCUGCUGGGCUGCGACUGCAGAGGAGUGUUGGUCUCGUCAACAGAUGGAGAGAGAGAGGGACUGUCGCACACCCUCUCCUGGAAAGAGGGAGAAGGAACGAAGGAGGUCACUAAGAGUAUCGAUACAACCCUUCAACCUGUGAAGUCACUAUGGGUUACUGGUGACAGACAUUGAUUAAAGAGAAGACGCUAACAUGUUGGAGCGAUCAGCUGGUGACCGGAAUCAGAUCAGCUUUAUUUGCCGUGACUGGGGCCGAUCAGCGGGCAAUCGGAUCACCGGUCACGCAUGCUGCACUGCAUGAUGGUUCCCAUCAUGGGCACAGCGGCACGGACAGUGAAGAAGAGUGAAGAAGAGACAACGUUCGCAAUUUAUAAUACCUGCGCGCGGUGUACAUGAGUGUGUAUCUGCUGGGCUGCGGCGGCCAUGUUGGCGAUGGUGUUGAGGUGGUUCAUCUGUGACAUCGCCAUGGCUACAGAUGCAGGCGGCAGGCCCAUGGGCAGCAGAGGGUGGGGCAUCAUCAUGAAGGGCAGGUCCAACCCUGAGAGAGGAGGGGAGGUUAAAGAGAAGGACCAAGCAGCUUCUGGAGCUCAGCCAUGGCUGCUGCUGUCAGACCUGUGAGACACACACACACUCUGCUGUUACCUUCGUCAGCAUUAUAAGAAACAUCUGUAGCAGCGCACACUCUCACAGGAGGUGCUGCCUGCCUUUUACCCAUGAUGCUUUGCUGGUGAGCUGUGACACACAUACUGGAAGUUGGGGCGGGCUGUCGCUGUCAAAAUGCUCUUCUCAGUUUGAGCGAUUUGUUGGAGUGUUUCAGGGUGUGAGUGCUGUUUUGAGACGCCUUGGGGCUGAUGUAUAUUCACUGAUACACACAUGCAGACAAACAAAACACACACAUAGAGAACAACCCCCCCAACACACACACACACACACACACACACACACACACACACACACACACACUCUUUUGUAUGGACUAAGAUCCCUGGCUCUGUGCACUGACCUGGAACUGACUUCUAUACACAACAACCAGCAGAGUGAGAGCGAUGACCCUGUGCGUGUGUGUGUGUGUGUGUGAAAGUGAGAGAGAGAGCAUGCUUUAUUGUGUAAAUCCACUAUUAUAUUUGUAAGCGUGCACAUGAGCAUUUGCAUCGUGCUCAGUGUGUAUGUACAGUUUGCUUUCACGUAUAUAAAGGUGUGUGACAGAGAGAGAAAGAAUGCAUGCAUGCUUAUCUGUGCAUACUUGUAUCCCACUGUGUGUGUGUGUGUGUAGGUCAGUUGGUUUUGCCCCAGUCACGGUUGACGGCCUUGGAGGAAUGUCCAUUACACACACA